AAAAUAAAAGCCUGGGACAGAAUCAUGACAGCCCGCAAGGAGUGAAAGCACCUUGAUGUUGUAAUUCAGUAUGAUAGAUUGCUGAGAAGAAAAGAAGAGGAGGAACAGCAACAGAAAAAUAAAAGAAUUAGGCAGGCUGAAUUAAUGUCAACAAAUGAAGAGCUUUCAGGAUCACCGUGUUACACGACGUGACUAUACAGACUGAUGAAUCCAGUGACUGUGCUUCAGCCGUCUUCGACCUUCCUGACAACACACAAAAGAUGAACUUUGAAUAAUGCUGUUUCAGACCUGUUAAUGGAUGGAUAUGUGUAACAGUGAUGGAGUCACAUUAGAUUCAUUACCAGGCUGCUAUACAUCAAUAUGUUCAGGCAUAAGUAGAGUCUGGAAUAAUAUGUGCAGGUGAAUAAACACCUACACAUUCAAGCCUCUGUCAUGCCUAUAAAGGUCAUGAUAAAACCAUCAAGCAUAAAGCCAUAAACAUUAUGUAUAUCAGACCUCAUUGCUCACCUCAGUUUACAUAAAUCAGAGGUCUUUGCUAGGGUAACAGCCACCUGAUGCUACAGUCAGCACCUUUUCAUUAGUGACUAAAGUUGGGCUACUGUCACAUGUAAUCUUUAUGGGAUCAUUAGAUGUUACUUUGCUUUUGUGACCUGCUCUUAGGAGUAUUACAUGUCCUCAAACUGACUGGCCUUUUUUUUAAUGUAUUCUGAGCUGAAAAUGCCUAUAAUGAUUUGAGUGAGCAUUAGCAAAAACAUUGUCAAACUAUGUCCUGUAUGUGGAGCAGACUGGGAUUAUUGCAGAGAUUUUAUGUGGCCCACCUUCAUUUCUCAGGUCCUUUCUUAAAAACCUAUUAACUCUUAGUGUUAGACCACCUGUCUGUUUCUUCUACAAUGCCAAUAAAAUAUCACAGUACAUUUUCAGCAUUGACACUCAGAGCAAAAAAAUGGUUUCUCCAUCUUUGCUACUAAAUGAAGGGAUGCGAAUCUAAAAAAGAUAUAAAAAAGAAUGGAUAGCCUCCAGAUCCACAAAGGAUAAAAAGCAAUUUGUCAAAGAGAUAUGCACUACCAAAUCAAUCUAACCACCACCGCUAUGCUUUAGGCAGGAUUGCAAAGGUUGAAUCAGCUAAUACCUCAAACCCAGCAAAUUCCUUGUAAAGGUCAACAUUCAAAACAAUGAACAAAAUAUAUCAUCCAUAAAUGAAGUUUUGUCUUCGAAUAAACACACAACACCAAAUGCACAGAUGUAUAAAAACCCACAUGUCACAGGCAGAAUCUUCUCUGUUCAAGCAGUGGGAAAAGUAUCACUUGGCAAGACAGAUCCAACCCUGAUAUGCUCCAGCAGCCACCUCACCACAGGCUUCCCCCGGUGCAUGCAGAGGAGGUAUCAGGUCCUGAAAAUGAUGUGUUGUCCUCCUUCUAACACCAAGCUGAAAAAGCUCUUUGCUAGGGUUGAGAAUUAGAACACUCACCUCUGAUCCUUUUCUAUUUUAAGCUCCUAAAAAAAUAAAAGUGAAGAGUCAACUGACCCCUCAUGAAACCCCUUUCCUGAACAGCUAUUAACCUACACCCUAAUAUGGCCUAUCAUGAUUCUAGGUUCUCUACAUGUGUAUAGAGCACUAAUAAGAACCAUACUUCAUGUCCAAAGAGUUUGGAGAAGUGAGAAUGAUUGGUCCAGUGUCAUUUGUUCUUUCAAAUGUUUAUUGAUUUUUAGAAGCCAAUCUCAUUGUGUAAUAAUUUGGAAUUUUACAGUCCAACUGUUUUUACAGGAGUCAGUAACAGAUUGUGUGAUGAUUUUAUUCAGUCCACAGCCACAACAACAAAGUAGCUCCAGUUGCAAAAUGGCUAUUUAACUGAGUGGAAACCAACAAAAACUGAACAUCAAUAAGUAAAGAUGCUGGAAUCUACUGCACUUCAAUUAGCACUGUAAUAAACUUUUGCCGCUUUCCUCUAAAAGUUUGCAUUUAGAGUGUGAGAUUAAAAUUAAUCGGCACAGUACAG